rnacentral:misc_RNA from 1 species
UUUCCGUAGGUGAACCUGCGGAAGGAUCAUUAGAGAUUGGCCUAACGGCCGUGUCUUCAUCCACACACACCGUGAACCGUUCUCGAGCACCCUCAGGGGCGCCCGGGACACACACACCAAAAACUCUGUGUAAUGAAUGUAAACUAUACGUAACAAAACAAAACUUUCAACAACGGAUCUCUUGGCUCUCGCAUCGAUGAAGAACGCAGC